rnacentral:rRNA from 1 species
UACGUAGGGUACGAGCGUUGUCCGGAAUUAUUGGGCGUAAAGAGCUCGUAGGUGGUUGGUCACGUCUGCUGUGGAAACGCAACGCUUAACGUUGCGCGGGCAGUGGGUACGGGCUGACUAGAGUGCAGUAGGGGAGUCUGGAAUUCCUGGUGUAGCGGUGAAAUGCGCAGAUAUCAGGAGGAACACCGGUGGCGAAGGCGGGACUCUGGGCUGUAACUGACACUGAGGAG